rnacentral:lncRNA from 1 species
AGGUGGGAGGGGAGAAACCACCAGUGCUCCUGGUCUCCACUCUAAAGGUGGAAGAAUGGAGGUCGAAAUCAUCAAUCUCGAAGUCCUCAAAGAAAGGAUCGACGACCCUUACCCCCUGGAUGUUAUAACAAUUACACGCCCUUAACUGUUUCUAGGAGAGAGAUGUUAGUGGAAAUUCAAGCUGAGCUACCCCAGCCUCCUCAGAUGCAGACGAAGCUAAAGCACCGCCGCA